UCCAGGUCUGACUGCCUCUGAAACUCAACCUCAUCUUACUAUCUAUUGUACAGCUUUUUGCAUCCCUGGUCUCCAACCCAGAGCAUCAAGACAAGCAUCCAGCUCUGGUUCUUAAGGUGUAGAAGGUGCAAAAUCUCUGCAGGAUGAGUCUGCUCAACCCCUUCACUAUGGCAGGUGAACUAGAUGAGCUGGCUCAUCUCUUGUAGCUCUGACAUAAGUUUCUGAUGUCAUGUGCCAGAGAUGGCAAACGGGAGAGGAGGAAGGAAGCUGUGGAGAUGGAUCCCACCAGUCUCUAGGAGUAAAGUUCAUCUUCAAAGGAAAACGGCAGGGAACACUGAAAUAGGAUCCAUAAGAAGGUGACCUCACGUGUAUUUCUAUGAGUAUACAGCUUACAUUCAAAAUCACCCUUCGUGGCUGCUGCUUCGGUUAAACAGCAGCUGAGCAAGCUGGCUUGGAUUCAAGGACCACGUUUAUUUAUUUACUUGUUUUAUUUAACU